AUCGCUUCUCGGCGUUUUGGCUAAGAUCAAGUGUAGUAUCUGUUCUUAUCAGUUUAAUAUAACAUACCUCUCUUUUGAUGUCAUUGGAGAUAUUUUACAGUACAAAUGUGAUCAUUA
rnacentral:snRNA from 1 species